rnacentral:misc_RNA from 1 species
UGCUAGAGGAUGUGGAUGGCAAAAACUCUGUGCAUUUAUCAAUCUUGGAGCUUAUUAUGUUGUGGGAUUACCUUCUUCUGUUCUCUUUGCAUUCGUUUUCGAUACUGGAGGCCUGGGACUAUGGAUGGGGAUCAUAUGUGCAUUGCUAGUGCAAAAUGUGGCGCUUAUCGCGAUAAAUAUAUGCACUAAUUGGGAUAAGGAGGCAAGAAAAGCUGUAAAUAGAGUUCAAGGCUGUGGUUUAAAUAUGUGAUAUAUUGAGAGAAGGUGGAAAUAUUUCAAUAUGGGCCGAUCAAGGCCCGUGGA